GAGGAGAACCACAAGCCUAAUUUAGCCAUUUCAGUUACAACUAACUCUACUCAUGUCUGUCGUGUUCUAAAUCCUUUGGCAAAAGACUAUAUAAGGAAGGAUGAGACCAGGAUGAAGAGUGAACAAGGGGGACAAAUGGAAUGGAAGGGACACAGAUAUUUAUUCCUCCACAUAUUUGCCAUGUCUUUUCCAUGCUGAAGCUAUUCUACUGGAACUUCUCUUUUCUUUGGCAGGAGUUCUGGAAGAAAACAGAUGAAGAGUGGGCAGACUUAUGGAAAUGCAUUUACAAAUCAUUUUGCGUAUGGAGGAAGCAGUUGCUUCAGUUUCACACGUGAAGCUGAAAAGGAGGGAAAGAAGAGAUUUUGAUAGACACAGAGAGAAAAACAUGUGAAAUUACAGGGGAAAGACAACUAGCUAUCUAUAAGCCAAGGGUAGAGACCUCAGAAGAAACCAACAGUGCAAACACCUUGGUCGUGGACUUCUGGCCUCCAAAACGGUGAGAAAAUACAUUUCUGUUGUUUAAGCCCCACAGUCUUUGGUAUUUCAUUGUGGUAACCUGAGCUGGCUAAUACAAUGUGAUUCCAUAAAAUAUGAUAAAGUAAAUUACAUUUGUUAAUUAAUUUUUUAUUCACAAGUUUAAUUCAUUUUUGUUAACUGGGAACUUAGGCAUCACUGUGAUAUGUUUCCAGUAGGAAAUAUACUCCAGGCUUAAAACAACUGAUUUAUAAAUUAGCAUUUGGUUACAAUCCAUUCAUGCAGUGGGGCUCAGACCUUAUUAUCUCAGCUUCUUUUCAAGGGCCUUGAUGUAAGUUCUUUAGGCUUUUUGUUACUCAAAUAUGAUUUUCUUUAAAAAGUACCUACUUCUGGAGUUCCCACUGUAGCUCAGUGGUAACAAACUCGACUA